GCCUGGGUGGCUCAGUCGGUUAAGCAUCUGACUUCCACUCAGGUCAUGAUCUCUCAGUUUGUGAGUUCGAGCCCCGCGUCUGGCU
rnacentral:tRNA from 1 species